AACUAAAUAUUUCAGCAACGGUUUGCUCCUGCUCCUACGCUCAUGGACAGCUCCUACUCACGCUCUCCGUCUCUGCGAGAUUGGGAAUGAUUGAGAUUUCUCUUGGCACAGCUACCAGAAGACUUACAACCUUCAGACAGGUUGCUCAC